rnacentral:rRNA from 1 species
GACGAACGCUGGCGGCGUGCUUAACACAUGCAAGUCGAACGGAAAGGCCCUGCUUUUGUGGGGUGCUCGAGUGGCGAACGGGUGAGUAACACGUGAGUAACCUGCCCUUGACUUUGGGAUAACUUCAGGAAACUGGGGCUAAUACCGGAUAGGAGCUCCUGCUGCAUGGUGGGGGUUGGAAAGUUUCGGCGGUGGGGGAUGGACUCGCGGCUUAUCAGCUUGUUGGUGGGGUAGUGGCUUACCAAGGCUUUGACGGGUAGCCGGCCUGAGAGGGUGACCGGCCACAUUGGGACUGAGAUACGGCCCAGACUCCUACGGGAGGCAGCAGUGGGGAAUAUUACACAAUGGGCGGAAGCCUGAUGCAGCAACGCCGCGUGCGGGAUGACGGCCUUCGGGUUGUAAACCGCUUUCGCCUGUGACGAAGCGUGAGUGACGGUAAUGGGUAAAGAAGCACCGGCUAACUACGUG